CGUGCGCCUUCGCCGAAUCCCGUGUGCGGAACCGGGGAACCACCAACCCCUGGGGUGAAUCGGACCGUUCGCGGCCCGUAGGAGACCUUCCCGCUCCGAACCCGUCAGCUAACCCGGUAGGCGAGUCGGAAGGAAAGG
rnacentral:sRNA from 2 species